GGACUGUGGCUCAGCGGUAGAGCACUCUCCUAGCACGGGCGGGACUCGGGUUCAAUUCUCAGCACCA
rnacentral:tRNA from 1 species